rnacentral:rRNA from 1 species
UACGUAGGGUGCAGGUGUUAAUCGGAAUUACUGGGCGUAAAGCGUGCGCAGGCGGUUUGUUAAGACAGGUGUGAAAUCCCCGGGCUUAACCUGGGAACUGCGCUUGUAACUGGCAAGCUAGAGUGUGGCAGAGGGGGGUGGAAUUCCACGUGUAGCAGUGAAAUGCGUAGAGAUGCGGAGGAACACCGAUGGCGAAGGCAGCCCCCUGGGCUAGCACUGACGCUCAGGCACGAAAGCGUGGGGAGCAAACAGG